rnacentral:rRNA from 1 species
UACGAGGGGGCUAGCGUUGAUUCGGAAUUACUGGGCGUAAAGCGUGCGCAGGCGGUUCGUUGUGUCGGCGGUGAAAGCCCCGGGCUUAACCUGGGAAUGGCCGUUGAAACUGGCGAACUGGAGUGUGGCAGAGGGGGGUGGAAUUCCGCGUGUAGCAGUGAAAUGCGUAGAGAUGCGGAGGAACACCGAUGGCGAAGGCAGCCCCCUGGGCUAACACUGACGCUCAUGCACGAAAGCGUGGGGAGCAAACAGG